UAACUUUUUGUUGUUCAGUAACUAGCCAGC
rnacentral:piRNA from 1 species